CAGCAGCCACGGGAAUACGUAGGGUGCGAGCGUUAAUCGGAAUUACUGGGCGUAAAGCGUGCGCAGGCGGUUAUAUAAGACAGAUGUGAAAUCCCCGGGCUCAACCUGGGACCUGCAUUCGUGGCUGUAUAGCUAGAGUACGGUAGAGGGGGAUGGAAUUCCGCGUGUAGCAGUGAAAUGCGUAGAUAUGCGGAGGAACACCGAUGGCGAAGGCAAUCCCCUGGACCUGUACUGACGCUCAUGCACGAAAGCGUGGAGAGCAAACAGGAUUAGAGACCCCAGUAGUCCCUGUCUCUUAUAC
rnacentral:rRNA from 1 species